AUGGCCCCUAAUAGAGCCCCUGGACCCGAUAAUAUUCCUGCUGAGUUUUAUCAGGUGUGCUGGGAUAUAGUUAAAGAUGACAUUAUGGCCCUUUUUAAAGCCUUUCAUCAAGGGACGCUGGAUGUCCAGCGGCUUAACUAUGGAGUUAUUACGCUGCUUCCUAAGGUUUCUGGAGCUGAGAAAAUCCAACAGUACAAACCUAUCUGCUUGUUGAGAUGCCCAUAUAAGCUAAUCACCAAAGUCCUUGACCGUAGAGUUGCCGUUUAUGCAAAUAAACUCAUUAGUCCUACUCAGAACGCUUUUGUAAAAGGGAGGAAUAUCAUGGAUGGUGUCCUGUCCCUUCAUGAAAUUCUUAACUACACUUAUGUUAAGAAGAAAGUGGGAAUCGUCCUUAAGUUGGACUUUGAGAAAGCCUAUGAUAAGGUGAAUUGGGAUUUUCUCCUUGAAUGCCACAAGAUGCGGGGUUUUGACAAAACUUGGUGUGGAUGGAUCGAACAGAUACUGCAUAAUGGGACAGUUAGCAUCAAACUAAAUGGUAGUGUUGGGCCGUAUUUUCAAAGCAAAAAAGGGGUGAGACAGGGGGACCCGCACUCUCCUUUCUUGUUCAAUCUAGUAGUGGAAUGCCUCACUAAAAUGAUAAAAAAUGGCCAAAAAACAAACUCAUUGUGGGCCUGGCUGCAGACCUCAUCCCUGAUGGGGUGGCGGUCCUACAGUAUGCGGAUGAUACAAUCAUUUGCAUCGAGGACGAUGUUAAUAAGGCUGUCAACCUGA
rnacentral:rRNA from 1 species